rnacentral:rRNA from 1 species
GACGAACGCUGGCGGCACGCUUAACACAUGCAAGUCGAACGAGAGAAGAGAAGCUUGCUUUUCUGAUCUAGUGGCGGACGGGUGAGUAACACGUGAGCAAUCUGCCUUUCAGAGGGGGAUACCGAUUGGAAACGAUCGUUAAUACCGCAUAACAUAAUUGAACCGCAUGAUUUGAUUAUCAAAGAUUUAUCGCUGAAAGAUGAGCUCGCGUCUGAUUAGCUAGUUGGUAAGGUAACGGCUUACCAAGGCGACGAUCAGUAGCCGGACUGAGAGGUUGAUCGGCCACAUUGGGACUGAGACACGGCCCAGACUCCUACGGGAGGCAGCAGUGGGGAAUAUUGCACAAUGGAGGAAACUCUGAUGCAGCGAUGCCGCGUGAGGGAAGAAGGUUUUAGGAUUGUAAACCUCUGUCUUCAGGGACGAAAAAAGACGGUACCUGAGGAGGA